ACUGUUUAAUUAAAACAAAGCAUCGCGAAGGCCCACGGCGGGGGUUGACGCGAUGUGGGUUCUGCCCAGUGCUCUGAACGUCAAAAGGAAGAAAUUCAAUGAAGCGCGGGUAAACGGCGGGAGUAACUAUGACUCUCUUAAGAUGGGAUCACAGUUACUAACUGGGCUAA
rnacentral:ncRNA from 1 species